rnacentral:rRNA from 1 species
GAGGGGCGACAGGGGUAGCAAUACCUGCUGGCGACCGGCAAACGGGUGCGGAACACGUACAGAACCUUCCUUUAAGCGGGGAAUAGCCCGGAGAAAUCCGGAUUAAUACUCCAUAGUAAUAUUUGGUGGCAUCACCGGGUAUUUAAAGAUUUAUCACUUAGAGAUGGCUGUGCGGCUGAUUAGGUAGUUGGUUGAGGUAACGGCUCACCAAGCCUUCGAUCAGUAACUGGUGUGAGAGCACGACCAGUCACACGGGCACUGAGACACGGGCCCGACUCCUACGGGAGGCAGCAGUAAGGAAUAUUGGUCAAUGGAGGCAACUCUGAACCAGCCAUGCCGCGUGAAGGAUGAAGGCCCUCUGGGUUGUAAACUUCUUUUAUCUGGGAAGAAAUGCUUGUUUUUUAAUGAGUUUGACGGUACCAGAGGAAUAAGCACCGGCUAACUCCGUGCCAGCAGCCGCGGUAAUACGGAGGGUGCAAGCGUUAUCCGGAUUCACUGGGUUUAAAGGGUGCGUAGGUGGGAAUGUAAGUCAGUGGUGAAAUCUCCGUGCUUAACAUGGAAACUGCCAUUGAUACUAUGUUUCUUGAAUUUUCCGGAGGUCAGCGGAAUAUGCCAUGUAGCGGUGAAAUGCUUAGAUAUGACAUAGA